UUUUAUCUAUAAUUCCUCUUUUAGUGUAUAUUUGUCACACUGAAUGGUGUCAGAUCUUCAUUUAAAAUGUAAUAUAUAUGAAGACCCUGAGUAAACAAUAUUCAGUGGUGAAAUUAUAAUUAUAUUUAUAUAAGGAGAACAGUUAUCCAAAAUCAACUGGCCUUGUGUGAGAAAGUGGUUUCUACCCUGAACUUAACUGCUUGCACCACCAUUUGCAACAACAACUGCAACCAAAUGCUUCCUGUAAUUAGAGGUCUGUUUUUCACAUCGCUGUGGAGGAAUGUUGGCACACUGUUUGCAGAAAUGCUGUAAUUCAGAAACAUUGGAGGGUUUUUGAGCAUGAAUUGCUUGUUUAAGGUCCUGCCACAGCAUCUCAGUGGGGUUCAAGUCAUGACUAGGCCAUUCUAAAACCUUAAUUUAAUUUAUUUUGAGACAUUCUGCGGUGGACAUACUUAUGUUUAGGAUCAUUAUCCUGUUGCAUAACCAAAUUACGCUUCAAAUCACGGACUGAGAACUGGACAUUCUGCUUCAGAAAUGUCUGGUAGAGAGCAGAUAUUCAUGGUUCCUUCAUGUCUUCCAGGCCCUGAGGCAGCAAAGCAUCCCUACACCAUCACAGUACAACCACCAGGUUUGACUGUUGGGAUUAUGUUCUUAUUGUGAUGUUAUGUUUACUUCACACCUGAUGUCAUAACAGGACCAGUGUCAUUGGGCCAGUUGGUGUUUGGUAACUUUUGUCUUCAAAAUAGAAAAUUCUAAUUUAAACACAAAAGGUUGUGUUUACUCGGGUUCGCUUAAUCUUUUAUUACAUUUUGUAUGAAGAUCUGAAACCAUUCCGAGGGACAUAUAUGCAAUAAUAGAGGAAAUUAGGAAGGGGAAAAUACUUGUUCAUGGCACUGUAUAUAUACAUUAACAUGUUGGUUUGUCAUAUAUUGUAAUGAGGCAAAACACAGGGAACAUCCACCAGUGAUGGGACACGCAAAGCUGAUGCUUCGAGUCUUGCUUCAAAAUCUCAACCCAGUCUGCUCAAAGUGAAAGAGCCGAGGCUUGCAUCCAAGCAACAAUAUCACGUGAUUGAUGACAUUUGAAGCUUCAGACUUCACUCAACCUUCUGUUAAGGUUUUAAAACAUGACAUGGUGCUUUCUAACCCUGCUUUAAUACAUAUGAAACUUCAUUAGUCUACCAACUAAUGAUUAAGUCUUGAACUAAUGAGAUUCACAAAUUAAAAGGUAAAUGUAAAAAAAAAUUGUGCUACACAUCAUUCAUUCAUAUCAGUCCACAACAUAGACUUUUGUUACAAUUAUCUUAGAAUUUUUUGUUGGAUAUCAUUUGGCCGAUAGCUCAACAGCUGUAGACGGAUACGUAAUUAUGUUGUGUGUCUGUGGUUUGUCAGUUCCUUGUUUGCUCUUUCCUGUUCUCAUUUCAGUUAAUCAGUUAAUUCCUUUCACGUGUUUAGCCCCCACCUGUUUCUGUUCAUCUUGUUAGUCUGUGUAUUUAGUUCAGGCAUUUUUGCCCCAUCCUUGGCAGUAAUUGUGUUGUAUUGUGGCGUUCCAUGAUUCUGUGUAGAGUCUACUUUGUAUCAGUAUUGCAUGGCACUUGCAACCCUGCAUUUGCCUCAGCCUCGCUUGCAGCGUUACAGCAAUUGCUUUAGAAAGCCUGGUUUGAGUCCCAAUGAUAACUUUUUUCAAAUAUUGUUUUGCUGAAACCCCUGGCAACAAUGCAUUUGUAGUUUUUGAGGCGGUGCUUUUGAGGCAUAUUCCUGUUUGGAAGGUUUAUCUUCUUUGCUGAUGCAAUUUGUCCAUGUUCUGCAUAUGCUGUAGUGAUUUUUAAGACUGUUCUCCUUGACAAUUGAAUAAUUUAGUUAUUUGGGCAACAACUACUUGGCCUCUUCAGGCUACUUUGAGAACUCAAAUGUCAAAGUUCUGAUUGUCAGAUCUCUUUAUAGUUGAUAAUUGGCAAUCAACCUAAUGUGACUUGUGGUGCAACAUUUCAAAUUGUGAUUUAGUAACUUCAAAGUAACAGUCCUUGCUUUUCUGUGGUAUUUCAGUUAUUUUGUCCACCCACUUUGUAUAUUUCUAUUAACUUAAUAGGGGUAAUAUCAGAAAAUGUCUCUAAUAAAUCUGCAGUAGAGUGAAAGGACAGUGUUCACAAUAUUUAUUCAGCCAGGAAUUAUGUUAAGCACAUUCUACAAUGCAGACAUGGUGUUGGACCAAAAUGGAAAAUCUGCACCUUUAUUGUCCUUAAGACGUGUUCAUGUCCUAUUUAAGCACAUUGAUGAACAUUGGUAUCCUGGGCCAUGCAGAAUCCCUCAUUUGCUGGUUGUGAAAAAUAAACAUAGUUCACAAAAUGUUUGUUGAAGUGAGAAAACAAACAUUAGAGGGAUACAUAUAGAUAUUAAUUUCUACGACCGUUCAGGUAAUUUCCGGACUAGUUAUAGUACAGGUCAUUCAGGGUUUAUGCUUAAGGGGAAAUGUGUAUUAAAAUGGCCUUAUUGUACAAAUGUUUACAAAGGUAUACAUUGACUAAGGGAUCACGAGUUGCCUUUGGAAGGGGGGUUGUCCAGGGGUAGACCCAUAGGGUCAAGCUUCCUCUCUCACAUUAGGAAGAGACCUACGGGCGGAUUUAGGUUUUGUUUUUAUGACCUUCCCAGGAUGUCUAUGGGAUUUAUGGAAUAAAAGUGGCUAUUUGUGCAUAUGUUUAGAAAGGUGUAUGUGCAUUGACUAAGGGUAGAAGUACAUUUUUCCCCGGGAAGGGGGAAUGACCAUGGUUGGUUCCAUAGGGUCUUCUGGAUCAAUGAUGACUAUGUAUAAACCUGAAUGGGGUGUGCAUAUGCACGUGUGUUUUGACUAAGGGGAAUUCUUGAGAUCAAUACAUCCUUGGAAGGUUGGAGUUAGGAAGCCAGGAAUGGGUGGCCAAUGGCAAGACCCCUUCAAGUACUGUACGUCAUUAACAAAGAUCAAGCUUCCUCUCACACACUAGGAAGAGACUUACAGGCGGAGACUUUAGGUUUUAUGUCUUUAUGACCUUCUCAGGGUGUCUAAGGGAAUUAUGUAUUGAAAUGGUCUUAUUGUGCAUAGAAAGGUGUGAUUUGACUAAGGGUUAUGGCCAUGAGUUGCCCCUUUUUCCCGCAAGGGGGGUUGACCAGAGAUGGUUUCACUGAGUCAUAGGGUCUUCUGGAUCAGUGGUGACUUGUUUCAAUAUCUGUAUAAAGCGGUAUCCUCUCUCACACACUAAGAAGAGACCUGAAUGCAGGUUUAAUAAUUACUUUCUUUUGCAUAAAUGGUGACUAUGUAAAGCUGAAUGGUCUGUGUGUUUGUGUUUGUUGACUAUGGGAAUUCUUGAGAUCAAUGCUUCCUUGUGUUGAAGUGUGUGCUUGUUAUGUUUAGAAGAUCUACUGUUUUGACUGAACUUCUGAGCUAACUAGCUAACUGCCAACUGACUAACCCAAGGAGUUUUGGAUACAGAUGAAUAGUGAGUCAUACAGCCAUAUAACGAACUGUCAAGAUUGCAAAAGUUUUUGGUAGUCAAACAAGUCCUAGUACCCUCCCCGUCUAGGCCAGGAUUUUGAUUGUGCAGAAACUGUCUGUGAGAAUAGGUAGUCUGUCCUAGCUGAUUAGGGCGUAGACCGGUAUGUUGAAGCGCUCAACUGUAUUUCGUGCAAGACCAUAAUGCAAUUUUGUGUUUUUGGCGAUCAUACAGUGACUUGUACAAGUAAUAUAUAAUGCCGUCCAGUUGUACAAAUACAAUAGAAGGAGGACUGCAGCCUCUGACACUCAUGAUGCAUUCAUGUUUAAAUAUCAUGGCGCAAAUGAAAAGAAUAAUUCACAACAAUACCUGAGAAGGUUUUCUGGCUAAACAAGAUGGAUUCUGAGGAAUUCGUGAAUGGAGGACCGAUGGAGAGUGUGGUACAUAAAUAAAGAAAAGACUAAGGAAAGUUAAGAUGACCGAGAAAGGACAACAGUCGAAAGGAGACAAAGGAGACAAAGGAGACAUUCAAAAUGGAUGAAGAUUUAUUUAGUUUGACCACCUGGCCAACCAAUGACAGUCACAGGAUAGAGUCGCUUUGGUGGGACCACGGAAUCAUGGACUAUACAAGGAACUGACGCUUCAAGGGAGGUCUCACGACAAUGUGGUUAGGCCUUUACCAGGCCCACCGCAUGGUAAUAUUCUGCUGCGUGCUGAGCUGUUCGCUGGCCCACAUCCGGACAUCACAAACCCUUUUCUGAUGAUACAUCACAUUACCGACUGGAAACAGACAUCUGAGUGUGUGAGUACCAGCAACAUGUUCAUUAAAGAUUUUUCCACACUGGUUGAAUCUUUUCCAAAUUUUCCUGACCACUCACAUGUCAGAACGAUGCCAGGGUCAGAUCACUUCAUCACACUCCAUCUGUAGAUGAAUCAUCAACAGCGAGAGCAGAAUCCACCUGAAGGACUCCAUAUACUACGUGUCAGAGUACCAUGGGCCAUUUGACAGGAAAGGUCACAUGGUCCCAACACAGUGGAAAACACUGUUGUGGUGUUAAUCUUGAAUUAGUGAAGUGUUGGAA